GUUCUUCGUUUCUACAUCUGACGAGCUAGGCGGCGCCCCGUUCCGGCGUUCCCCCCGUCACGAGCUCGGCGGCGCCUAGGUUCCGGCGUUCCCCCAUCACGAGCUCGGCGGCGCCCCGUUCCGGCGUUCCCCCGUCACUUGCUCGACGGCGCCUAGGGUUCGCGACGCCCUACCGUCGGCCCCUGGGAGGAGGGCGGGCAGCGGCUCGCUCCCAUGGCCGACGCUGCGCGCCGAGAAGGGAUCAUUGGCGGCGGAUCGGCCCCGGCGGCGCAUCUCACACCGGAGUCAAGGGCCAUGGGAGGAGGGCGGGCAGCGGCUCGCCACCGCCGUGGAGUCGGCCUGCGGAGGGUCCCCCGCUCGGCCGCCGAGUCCUUGGCGGCGGCGGUGGCCCCCGCGACCCGUGCCCUCCGGCGGGAAUGGCGCGGAUCCGUGAAGUCGCCCAACGCACGGCCGUCUCUCGCCGCCGGGCGAGGGUGAGGGUGACGGCGAGAUCCAGAUCGGGGCCCCAAUCCACCGUCGGCGCCCACCAUGGAACUGACGUGGCCCGUUCGUCCUCCGCCACGGCGGCAAGCAGCAGCAGUCGCAGCGGAGCCGGCUCCCUACACGGGUUGGUCAUGCCGUCAGCCGCGGCCGCCCGUCGCCUCCCGCCGCCGGCCACCGCGGCCAGGGGCCAGCGCCCGGACGGCCACUGGUGAUGGGCCCAAGGCAGUAGCGCGACAAGGGCAAGGAGCAGGGGGCACCCUGUAUCGCAUCCCAAUUCGGCAUCUCGGCAAUGGAUCCCCGUCGACCAAUUGGAAGUACUGAUCCUCUUUCUCUCCGCUCUGGUUCCUGUUAGGCCUUGCAAUGUUUUUGCACAAAUCGUAUACUGCCCAUGAAGUUGCCAUUAUCCGUCUUGGUGAAAACAAUCUCUGUCCAGUCAUUACUUCCUUGUGCAUUCAGGGGUCAGGAUCUCUGUAUCAUGUGCAGAGCUUGUUGUUCAACUUUUAAAUUAUGUUGAGCUACUUGCUUAUCUGAACAGGUUUUAGUUUAGUUUGCUAUCUCUUUUAGUAUGCACUAGUAUAGAAUGUCAUUUACAUGUUGCAUGAUCUACUCAUGCAGGUUGAUUGGCUAAUAGUUUAGAAUUUCAUUUGUUUGGGAUAGCUUUAGGGAACUUAUCUGUUAUUGAUCUUGCUGGUUUUGCAGGCUAUACUCGAUAAAUAUAUGUAUCAUGUUUCUUCAGUAUGCAGAAGUAAUUGCUGGUCACAAUGCAAUAGCUGCUGGGAGGAUUGAAGGAGCUGGCAGAAUAAAAGCAUAUUCACAUCACUAACUGACAUUAUUCAAGUUCAGGCUCGACUUACAGUAGGAAAUUUUUUUAUUGCAGAUUCUGCUUAGCAGGCAUGGUUUAUGGGUACAAUGGUUGACAUGAUAUAACUUUUUUCUGGUCAUGUUGUCAACUGGUCAAGGACUAACCCAGGAGGUCAUGUUGUCAACUGGUCAAGGACUUAACCCAGGAUGAUAUAUAUGAUGAAGAAACACGGACUGAAUGAAGCACAGUUGAGAAGAAGAGCUUGCCAGGAGAAGGUACUGCCCAAGCAGAUAAAAGUGGCCCUUAAACUGAUCUCACAGGGAUUCAUAUCGAGAAAGUAAUACUCACACGGCCUCUUGAUGUGUUCUCCUUGCUUUCCCGGUGUGGUAGCUCAAACCUAGUGUUUUUUUGUAGUCUGUACUGGUGGAGCAUGUGAAUUUUGUGCUAUCAAAGUGUGUCAAUUCCUACUUUCAAAUCAAGAAUUCAUCAAUAUCAAUCUUGUAAUGCAAUGUAUAAGUGUACUUGUGUCUUGUGUUAUUAAAAAAAGGACCGGACUCUCUCCUGCUUGUUUUCCGUGAUAAAAAAAGGAAAUCCAAUUGUCA